AAAUUCGUCCGGUUUCUGUCGUCUUUGUCCCCGAGUCCUCCGACGCUAAAACCCUUCCCUAACCAGCUAAACCUUCCCUCUCUCUGUCCGCCGCCGCCGCCACCGGCACUGCCGCCGUAUCUGUCGGCCGGAAACUCUCUCUCGGAAUUCUGAGUACUCUGGGCUUUGAGGCUUUUCUCUCUCCUUUGUUAGAAAAACUGAUUCCCAAGAACCCCUGAGCAAUCCCUGGAAGGGAGAAUCUGUAGAUUACGACCGUUGAAUCUAUGGCCGAAGCAAGCGACCCGGGCUUGGAUGCCCUUCACAAGCUUAAGUCAACUGACCCUCCAGUGUUUUUAGCGCCGAGUUGUAUAUGUGAGGUGGCUCGGGAUGCGUCUCAGUACCUCUUCUCCAAACUGAAGGAAUACACCCCAAAAUCCCCUUUCGAUCAGCUCCUGGUUGAUGGGUUUGAUGCUGAGCAGGUCUGGCAGCAGAUUGAUAUGCAGUCUCAACCUUUACUGUCGAGCCUGCGGAAAGAGGUGAAGAAGUUCGAGAAAAAUCCUCAAGAAAUAAGCAAUCUCGGGAGUUUGGCAGAAGCGAAGAGCCUUAAGCUUCCGUGUGCAGAUGAUGCCAAAGACAUGGAGAUGGAUGGUUUUGGAACAGAUGAUGAUGAUGAAGAUGAUGAACUGGAAGAAGAGAACAAUGGAGGGACAGAAGAGAGAUUGAAAGGAGGAAGUGAAAGCGAAGGGGGAGAGGAAGAAGAUGAAGAUGAUAGAGAAGAGGACGAGGAGGAUGGAGAAGAGAAAGAAGAUGAGGAAAAGGAAAAGGAUGGAGAAAAUAGAGGAAUAGAGGAUGGGUUCUUCAGUAUAAAACAGUUGCAAGAAUUUUUAGAGGAGGGUGAAACCGAGGAGCUUGGGCUGGACAACAAGAACAGGAAGGGAAUGGCAAAGGGAAAGAAACACAAUGUUGAUGAUGUUGAUGAUGAUGAUGAUGAAGAUGAAGAGGACAAUGAAGAUGACAAAGACGAAGAAGAUGAAGACGAUGAUGAGGAUGAAGAAGAGGACAAGGAGUUCGGAGCUUUUGGUGAUGAAGAUGAAGGUGAAGAAGCAGCUAAAUUGGAAAAUGCAAAAUAUGAAGAUUUCUUUGGUGGUAAAAAGAAGGGGACUAAAAGGAAGUCUGAGGAUUCAAGUGAAGAACAGGAUACUGAUGGAAUUGGUAAUCAGGGAAAAGAGGAGCUGUCUACUCAUGAAAAAGAACUCCUAAAGCUUCAGUCUAAGAUCAAACAGAUGGAGAAAUCAAACUUAGAUCCAAAACAUUGGACAAUGCAAGGAGAGGUAACUGCUGCAAAAAGACCGAAGAACAGUGCCCUUGAAGUCGAUUUGGAUUUUGAGCACAAUGUUAGGCCGGCUCCUAUUAUUACAGAAGAAGUCACGGCAUCACUUGAAGAAUUGAUCAAGAACAGAAUCAUUGAGGGACGGUUUGAUGAUGUUCAAAACCCUCUAAGUUUGCCCACAAAAGCACCAAGAGAAGUCAAGGAAUUGGAUGAUAAUAAGAGCAAGAAGGGUCUUGCAGAAGUGUACGAGGAAGAAUACGUCCAGAAGGCUAAUCCAGCAUUUGCUCCAACAUCACAUUCAGAUGAACUGAAGAAAGAGGCGGGCAUGCUAUUCAAGAAACUAUGCCUGAAGUUGGAUGCUCUUUCUCACUUCCACUUCACACCGAAACCUGUGAUCGAAGACAUGUCUAUCCAGGUGAACGUCCCUGCCAUUGCAAUGGAAGAGGUUGCACCUGUGGCAGUCUCAGAUGCAGCAUUGCUUGCUCCAGAGGAAAUAUUCUCGGGCAAAGGUGACAUCAAGGAAGAGUCUGAACUUACAAAAGAAGAGAGAAAGAGGAGGAGAGCCAAGAAGAAAAGAAAGUUCAAGGCUAAUUCUGCAAAAAGGACAGUGAAGAACCCGCAGGACAUCGCAACCCAGAUCUCAAAAACUGGCAGCGAAGACUAAUGAUGGAGUGGAGAGAGAGAGUUCAGACAUGAAGCUUCAAGUUUAAGAGAAUUGUCUCCACUGAAGAUUUUACAAAGUUUUGCCGACGAUUCAUGGGAAAAAAUCAUAUUAAAUUCUAAGAACUGCGUGUUAGAAUACAACUGAAAUAUGUUUAUUUAAUGCUUAAAACUAUAUGUUUGUUUUUUUUAUAUUCACACAAAAAAUCUGAAUGGACCGACGAUAUGGGUCGUAUAAAUUAUGGGAAACGAACAAAGGAAACCCAAGUUUUCAUGAUCCGAUCCUCUCUUUUGACGGAGGUGAAAGAGCCAAAGAGGAGAUUCAAUUCGUUUGGACUCUCUCUCUCUCUCUCUCUCUCUCUCUCUCUCUCUCUGUGAGAAACUUCAAAUUCCGAGUUGGCGAAAAGUUUCCUGAUAUCAUAGUCGAGUUCGUCAGACAGUCGCCGGAGAAGAAGACCAAGACGACAGCGACGACGACCUCAAGGAUGAUAACGGUCCCGUACCUCACCGAUGUUUGUACGUACUUCAGUGCUAUUCGCCUUUGGUCAGCUCCGAGAUUUCUUCCGCCACCUCUUCGGUUGGUGGCUCACCAACAAUCUCCCAGGCCCGUGUGCGUAUGUGUGUGUAUCUACGCAUGGAUUGUGGCGUUUGUAGCUCAUCGGUGUCUGCGCGUACGUGCGUAUGAGUGUACGUACAUGUCCUCUGUUUUUUCGCCGUAGGGGCACGCGCCGAUCUGUUUAGGACACGAAGAUUUCCACAUCAGGCGUUUGUAUCAUCAGAUUCAGGUAUCUCUUCAUCAAUUCCUCUCGUUCGCGUUGGACGACUCACGUGAGAGCUGUGAAGAUGUGAACACAAUACACAUUUUCUGCUAAAUUAUGAUUUUGAUUCUCAUCUAUGCUCUCUCUGCCAUCAGGAACUACAUCUAUACGCGCAGAACUCGAAGAAUGUGUCCCGAGGUUUGUCGGGAAGCCUGCGGCUGUUGCCUGCUAUGCAACAAACUCGGCUGCCAUCCCUGUUUUGAUUGGGAAGGGAGGGUUGAUCAUAGGAGAUCCUUUGAACCACAGUUGGAUGAUCAACGGCGCGCGAGGCUCAGGGGCCGCGAUCCGUGUUUUCUGAUGCAACAGUAAGCUUCUUGGGGACAACGAUUCGCCGAUAAUGCUAUACAACAACCCAGCAAAAACCCAAGCCUUCUCAAGGGAAUGCCUCGUACGAAAUGUAAGUAUCCCGGUUUCUCACUGUCAAACAUGUUUGAAAAAAGGGAAGGUUUGGAACGAAAACAGGCGGCAGUGGUGGUGGUGGGAUUCCCGGCAACACCAGCCCUCAAGGCGUGUAAUCUUUGCAAUUGAACCGAUGAUAUUCAGACACUGCUGCUUCCCUUUUCAGGGUUCAUCAUCAUGUCCUCCCCAACUCUUCUAUUCGGACACAGAGCAAAUUUAUAUGGACCCGACAUCUCCCCCUCUCGCAUCUGAGGAGGAAAUUAAUGUAUUUCCAGACCCAAGACAGAAACUUCUACUAAGUACUAACCCAAUGCUUCUAGUCCUCUCUUCUUCCUCUUCCUGUUCUUUUCUCACUACUACUACUACUAGACCUCUCUACUGUUUCUACCUUCAAACAAGAACAACCACCGCAAAAAAAAAAAAAA